rnacentral:lncRNA from 1 species
ACACCAGGUAAGCACCCCCACGCCAGCCUCCCUCUGAUUACCGCACCUGGAUCCCGCUGAUGUGCAGCCGCCACCAUAUUCGGCAGGUUCUGAUUUUGUCGGUUCCCACGCUUCCCUUCAUCUGCGCCCCCCCCCCACCGCCCCCGCCCCGGGCUUCAGGGAGCCCACCCACCUUCUCCACCAACCCGGGUUCAGCUAGCCGUCUUUCUUCUGCCUCUCUGGGCCUGACGCUCUACAGAACCACACACUUCAAUUCCAGAAGAUCCAGUUUAGCAAAAACUCACUUGCCAGGCGUGGCAGCUUAGUGGCGUCCGUGGGGGGCUGAGAAAAGAACGUGACGGUGCUUACCUCCUGGGGACGUCAGACUCACUGCAGACAGGCAUCAAAACAGCAGGACCCAGGAGUCUAUACCGCACGUCAAACGACGGUGCCUGAAGACUUCUGCUUCUCCGGUGGCAAGACCCAGGUAAUCCAAGAGGACGGGCAUCCGAGGCCCGGCUCCACAGCUGGACACCAGGAGACCUGAGGGAGGCCAGGCCAGGCGUGGGAUGGUGCCGGGAGAGGCGCUGCAGCCUGCCCCAGUGGAACUGGUUCAGGGAACCCUGAGAGGACAACCACUCCCUGAAAGGUUUCCAAGGGAGACGAAUGAAGGAUGAGGACCCCAGAUGGGUCAGAGGAGGCGCUCUGGGCAGGACACGCUGGGAAUCUGCCUGGAGAUGGAAUUAUUAUGCAUUAACUGAGGACCAACCCCAUGACAGCUUGCCCUCUUCUGCCCGUGGAAAGAUGUCAGGACUCACACAGGGACACGUCCUGUCUUGCGUCUGCCACUGCUCCCUGGGUCACCCGGGUCCUCUGAUAAGGCCCCUGUGUGUGACUGGACCAGAACCACGUCCGGAACCAUGUCCGCCAGCUCCCCUGCUGUGUGUCUCGGUGGGGAGAGUAGCAUGUGCGGCCCGUGCCUGGGCCCACACAAGGUCAAUACCCACGUGGGCCCUGGGCUGCCACAGUGGACAGAGCAGGUUCAGCCUGUGUGAGCACGAAGGCAGGCGGAGAAAGGAAGGGAGCGAGUGACCAGGUGGACAGCGGAGGCAUGAAGGUCAGUUCCCAUCUCCUGUGUGGCUUCCUUCCUGGCCUGGGCUCCCUCGAUGGCACAACUUUUCCUGACUUGUCUUCUAGCUUCCAGCUUCCAUCCAGCCACACGGGAGGUGCUUAGAAAAUGGUCAGUGGAAUCUGCAUGGCUGGUGCCCAGUUGCCUGCAUCCCAGGAGGUCCCCUAGCAUUGGCUCUUCUGGGACCCGGGUCCCAGGGCUCUGUGUAAGAUGGUCAGUCUGCAUCAUCUGCGUUUUCUAGGUGCCCUUGGGUUGGCUCCAGAGCCAUUCGUGAUAGCACGACCCAGGCCACCCGAGGCAGACGCGUCUGUAACAUUUAGAUCCUUUCUUGGGAGGCUGUGGCUUCCACAAUUGAG